rnacentral:tRNA from 2 species
AGCCUUGUAGUGUAAGGGUAUCACGUCUGAUUCUGACUCAGGAGAUGGAGGUUCGAUUCCUUCCGAGGCUG